rnacentral:rRNA from 1 species
UUUAACCCUCUAUCAGUACUGAGUAUUUCUAUACCUUUAUAGAAGAUUUUAUGUUGAAACUAGUAACAAGAAGUCAGACCUUCUCUUAAAUGCAAGCAUAAAUCAGAAUGGACUGACCACUGAUAAUUAACGCUAAUGAUCACCAAUCAGCAACCUCCAAAGAAAAAUCUUAUUUCCUACAGCGUCAACCUGACACAAGAGCAUUUCAAGAAAGAUUUAAAGAAAAAGAAGGAACUCGGCAAAUAUUAACCCCGCCUGUUUACCAAAAACAUCGCCUCUUGAACAAAAAUAAGAGGUCCAGCCUGCCCAGUGACUAAUGUUCAACGGCCGCGGUAUCCUAACCGUGCGAAGGUAGCGUAAUCACUUGUUCUUUAAAUGAGGACUAGUAUGAAUGGCACCACGAGGGUUAUACUGUCUCCUCUUUCUAAUCAGUGAAACUAAUCCCCCCGUGAAGAAGCGGGGAUUAAACUAUAAGACGAGAAGACCCUAUGGAGCUUUAAAUUUACCCUCAAACGCCAAAAUCAUACAGCAAGUUUUAAACUUCACCACACGAACUUUCGCGCCAUGAGGGCAACUUUUAGGUUGGGGUGACCAUGGAGUAUAAAAUAACCUCCAUACUGAACAGGCCUCCAAGCCUCGAACCAAGAGCCACGACCCGCCGCACUAAAAUAUUAACAUCCAUUGAUCCAAUGUAUUUUGAUCAACGAACCAAGUUACCCUAGGGAUAACAGCGCAAUCUACUUCAAGAGUUCCUAUCGACAAGUGGGUUUACGACCUCGAUGUUGGAUCAGGGUGUCCCAGUGGUGCAGCCGCUACUAAUGGUUCGUUUGUUCAACGAUUAAAACCCU